rnacentral:rRNA from 1 species
UACGUAGGGGGCAAGCGUUGUCCGGAAUCAUUGGGCGUAAAGAGCGUGUAGGCGGCCCGGUAAGUCCGCUGUAAAAGUCAAAGGCUUAACCUUUGAAUGUCUGUGGAUACUGCCGGGCUAGAGUCCGGAAGAGGAGAGUGGAAUUCCCGGUGUAGCGGUGAAAUGCGCAGAUAUCGGGAAGAACACCUAUGGCGAAGGCAGCUCUCUGGGACGGUACUGACGCUGAGACGCGAAAGCGUGGGGAGCGAACAGG